rnacentral:rRNA from 1 species
UACAGAGGUCCCGAGCGUUGUUCGGAUUCAUUGGGCGUAAAGGGUGCGUAGGCGGCGGGGUAAGUUUGAUGUGAAAUCCCGGGGCUCAACCCUGGAAUGGCAUUGAAUACUGCCUUGCUAGAGUACCGGAGAGGAAACUGGAAUUUACGGUGUAGCAGUGAAAUGCGUAGAGAUCGUAAGGAGACCAGUGGCGAAGGCGGUCUGCUGGGCCGUUGCUGACGCUGAGACGCGAAAGCGUGGGGAGCAAACAGG